UCCUUUUUGAACUGCAUGUGCUAAUAUUUAACAAUACUGUUUUUGCAAAAUUAUGAAAUAACAGCUACUUAAUCAGACUGAUACAUGAUUUAUUUUUUCACCCUCCAGAUAGAGUGAGCUCUGUUCCUAUAGUUGAUGAUAAUGGAUCCCUUCUUGAUGUCUAUGCACUCAGCGAUAUCAUGGCUCUGGCGAAGAAUGACAUUUACACUCGUAUUGAACUUGAGCAAGUGACCGUGGAGCAUGCCUUGGAGCUGCAAUAUCAGGUGAAUGGACGGAGACAGUGUCAUACCUGUUUGAGUACAAGUACAUUUCUUGAGGUGCUGGAGCAAUUGUCUGUUCCAGGGGUGCGGCGGCUUGUCGUCAUUGAACCGAUGACUAGAUUUGUGCAAGGAAUUAUAUCAUUGAGAGACGCAGUAACAUUUCUCCUUGGUUAACAUUUGUGUAGCCAUUUCAUACAUGAAAGCCUGUUGUAUUUUGAUUGGGAUGAAAUAAAGAAAUGUUGUUUCAACA